AGUCAGGAACCAUGCGAAUGGCCGCCGCCCAACCCCGCCAGAUCUGGAAGGAAGCAACGGUAAGCGGAAGGCGUUGCGCCGUGGCAGCCCUGGCUGUG
rnacentral:SRP_RNA from 1 species